UUCCAAACAACUAACAACUCAGAAUGCUGGGCAAUAGGACGUUUAAAGUGGCUCCUUACACCUUACAAAGGAAUGGCUGAUGAGAAACAACUCGAUCCGCUCAGCGUUCUAUUGGAAUGCAACGGACGUGAUUGCAAGCUUUUGUUUUGAGUUGCGGUUUUACUGAUAAACUCUACAAUCCGCAAACUUCAAUGAUCUGAAGUAGAAAACCUACAUGCUACAGUGAGAUAUUGUGGAUAAACUUAAGCGACCGCUCCAACAUUGUGUUUUUUUAAAACUGAUGAAGGUUGCGGCAAUAACAGGUCUGUGAUGCCCUUCGAUGUCCUGGGCUGCACACGUGCUACAAUGGCUAGCG
rnacentral:rRNA from 1 species